UCUUUGGUAGCUUAGAUGGUAAAGAAUCUGACUGCGAUUCAGGACACCUGGGUUCAAUCCCUGGGUCAGGAA
rnacentral:tRNA from 1 species